CCGCCUCCCGACGAAGCCGCAAAGAAGUGGUCGAAGGCCCCGUCCGACGGAAUGUUAGAGUGGCUGGCACCAGGGCUGUUCUCAGAAGCGUCCAGGUCCUCAAUUUGGACCGAGUCCUUCGCCAAGGAGGCGGCGACCGACUUUCGUUUCUCAGCACGAGUCUUCUUCUUUUGCCGUCGGUCGGACCGGCUGUCUCGAAGGGGGGCACCCGGGGCAUCACGAGGGGAGUCCGGGGCGCCGACCUCGAUGAUAUUGAUGGGAGACUCGUCAAGGGGAGUCUCGAAGCAAACUUCGUCGGCUUGCCUCUUNNN
rnacentral:lncRNA from 1 species